UACGUAGGGUGCGCGCGUUGUCCGGAAUUAUUGGGCGUAAAGAGCUCGUAGGCGGUGUGUCACGUCGGCCGUGAAAACCUGCAGCUUAACUGUGGGCGUGCGGUCGAUACGGGCAUCACUGGAGUUCGGCAGGGGAGACUGGAAUUCCUGGUGUAGCGGUGAAAUGCAUAGAUAUCAGGAGGAACACCAGCGGCGAAGGCGGCACUCUGGGCUGGAACUGACGCUGAGGAGCGAAAGCGUGGGGAGCGAACAGG
rnacentral:rRNA from 1 species